rnacentral:sRNA from 1 species
AUAAUAUUUUUUUGAAGACGGUAACGC